rnacentral:rRNA from 1 species
AUUGAACGCUGGCGGCAUGCUUUACACAUGCAAGUCGAACGGGGUGAAGGGCAACUCUUCAUUCAGUGGCGAACGGGUGAGUAAUACAUCGGAACGUACCCCGUAGUGGGGAGUAACUCGGCGAGAGCCGUGCUAAUACCGCAUAUGCUCUACGGAGGAAAGACAGGGGACCGCAAGGCCUUGUGCUAUGGGAGCGGCCGAUGUCCGAUUAGCUAGUUGGUGAGGAAUGGCUCACCAAGGCGCGAUCAGUAGCUGGUCUGAGAGGAUGAUCAGCCUCACUGGGACUNAGACACGGCCCAGACUCCUACGGGAGGCAGCAGUGGGGAAUAUUGGACAAUGGGCGCAAGCCUGA